rnacentral:lncRNA from 1 species
UGGGAAGUGAGGGGCAGCAACCUCUGCGUUUAUCCUUUUCCUUCCUGCUUGUUUCAGUGAGCAGGAGCUGGAGGGGGAAAGGAGUCUGUUCCUCCAACUGAGCUGAGGAGAGGCCACUGUACCACCUGGGCUGCUGCUGCUAGGCUGUUUCUUCAAAGAUAAUAAACCUUGAUCUUAUUGAAGCCAGAGUCAUGAAGAGGGUCUCUUUUCUCCCUCUGCUUCCUGCUUUGACAGAUCCCUUUCCUGAAGCAAUGAGGGUAGAACGCUUUGUCCCAAAGCCCCAGGUGGCUUUCAGGAUGAAGACUGUUCUGUGCAUGUCCCUGGAGCGUCCUGCUUCUGGCUGGGUACUGGAUGGAACCCCUGCAGCUGCCCUCUACUCGCAGCAGUCUUCCCACUGGCCACCUCUGAGCCCCCAGUUCAACCCUACUUGACCCAGCAGACAUCUGUCUCCCCCAGGCUGUGGAUCCAAGGAAGGUGGAGACCACAUCUGUUGAGCAGCUUCCAGCAGCACCUGGUGCAUGAGACUGCUUUAGUCGGUUGGAAAAAGUGCUGCUUGAAGGACUGGCCCCGACAGAUGACAAUGCCACUUUGUCAAGAAAAGGCUUGUUUUCUCUAAGGACAUGAAGCCAGAAAAGGGGACAGUGCCCCUUGAGGACCAGAUGGGAGCAAGCAUGUCCCUCUGUGUCCUGAGCUCACAGCUCUGAGGAUGAGCAGAAAUGUCAUUCAUCAUUGCAGAGCUCCUUGUUGGCAAGUGGUUAGAGCUGACUGCUCACAUGUUAAUCCCACUGGAUGACAGUAAAGACCAUUAACCAAAAUGUGUUAGUCAAAUUAAGCAAGAUUUAUUUUCUGCCAGACAGGGCUGUCUCCCUAACAUGGGGUUUGAAAGAACAGCAUGCAACACAGGAGAAAGUGGGG